AUUGAACGCUGGCGGCAGGCCUAACACAUGCAAGUCGAGCGGAGCGGCGGACGGGUGAGUAAUGCCUAGGAAUCUGCCUGGUAGUGGGGGAUAACGUCCGGAAACGGGCGAUAAUACCGCAUACUAUCAGAUGAGCCUAGGUCGGAUUAGCUAGUAGGUGGGGUAACGGCUCACCUAGGCGACGAGCCCUAGCUGGUCUGAGAGUAUGACCAGCCACACUGGAAAGGAGACACGGUCCAGACUCCUACGGGACGCAGCAGUGGGGCCUAUUGGACAAUGGGCUCAAGCCUGAUGCAGCAAUGCCGCGUGUGUGACGAAGGCCUUCGGGUUGUAAAGCACUGUCAGCCGGGAGGCGUUACCUGCAGAAGAAGCACCGGCUAACUACGUGCCAGCAGCCGCGGUAAUUC
rnacentral:rRNA from 1 species